rnacentral:rRNA from 1 species
GGGUCAUUGGAAACUGGGAGACUUGAGUACAGAAGAGGAGAGUGGAAUUCCACGUGUAGCGGUGAAAUGCGUAGAUAUGUGGAGGAACACCAGUGGCGAAGGCGACUCUCUGGUCUGUAACUGACGCUGAGGCGCGAAAGCGUGGGGAGCAAACAGGAUUAGAUACCCUGGUAGUCCACGCCGUAAACGAUGAGUGCUAGGUGUUAGGGGUUUCGAUGCCCUUAGUGCCGAAGUUAACACAUUAAGCACUCCGCCUGGGGAGUACGACCGCAAGGUUGAAACUCAAAGGAAUUGACGGGGGCCCGCACAAGCAGUGGAGCAUGUGGUUUAAUUCGAAGCAACGCGAAGAACCUUACCAGGUCUUGACAUCCUUUGACCACCCUAGAGAUAGGGCUUUCCCCUUCGGGGGACAAAGUGACAGGUGGUGCAUGGUUGUCGUCAGCUCGUGUCGUGAGAUGUUGGGUUAAGUCCCGCAACGAGCGCAACCCUUGAUCUUAGUUGCCAGCAUUCAGUUGGGCACUCUAAGGUGACUGCCGGUGACAAACCGGAGGAAGGUGGGGACGACGUCAAAUCAUCAUGCCCCUUAUGACCUGGGCUACACACGUGCUACAAUGGAUGGUACAAAGAGCAGCAAAACCGCGAGGUCGAGCCAAUCUCAUAAAGCCAUUCUCAGUUCGGAUUGUAGGCUGCAACUCGCGUACAUGAAGCCG